rnacentral:sRNA from 1 species
AACGGUAUGAUAUAUUAAAAAUGUAGUUUUUGUUCGGUAAUCUGUGGUAGCUUGUUUCAAAUAAACAUCUUCCAGAUAUACACCAUUCAAGUAAUUGCAAAAUAUGUGUUGAGACACAAGGAGGAUUUUUAUUAUGGAAACAGGUACAGUGAAAUGGUUUAACUCAGAAAAAGGUUUUGGAUUUAUUACAGCAGAAAACGGUAACGAUGUAUUCGUUCAUUUCUCAGCUAUCCAAGGCGACGGAUUCAAAACUUUAGAAGAAGGUCAAACAGUAAACUUUGACGUAGAAGAAGGUCAACGUGGCCCUCAAGCAACAAACGUUGUUAAAGCUUAAUUCACUUAUAUAAGUAGUAAAGCCCGAUAACUAUCUUAAGAUAGUUAUCGGGCU